GGAGUUAGCUGGAUAAUCGCUGCUUUGUCGUUGUGCCUUUGGGCAUACGGGCGAAGGGGAGGAAAGUCCGGGCUCCAUAGGGCAGGGUGCCAGGUAACGCCUGGGGAGCGCGAGCUCACGACCAGUGCAGCAGAGAGUAAACCGCCGAUGGCCUUCGGGCACAGGUAAGGGUGAAAGGGUGCGGUAAGAGCGCACCGCGCGGCUGGCAACAGUUCGUGGCACGGUAAACUCCACCCGGAGCAAGACCAAAUAGGCCUCCAUGGGCGCGGCCCGCGCUGGAGGCGGGUAGGUUGCUUGAGCCAGUGAGCGAUUGCUGGCCUAGAGGAAUGAUUAUCACUCGAGCUUGCUUGAGACAAAACCCGGCUUACAAGCUAACUCCACCU
rnacentral:RNase_P_RNA from 1 species